GAUGAACGCUGGCGGCGUGCCUAAUACAUGCAAGUCGAGCGAACAGACGAGGAGCUUGCUCCUUUGACGUUAGCGGCGGACGGGUGAGUAACACGUGGAUAACCUACCUAUAAGACUGGGAUAACUUCGGGAAACCGGGGCUAAUACCGGAUAACAUGUUGAACCGCAUGGUUCAACAGUGAAAGACGGUCUUGCUGUCACUUAUAGAUGGAUCCGCGCCGCAUUAGCUAGUUGGUAAGGUAACGGCUUACCAAGGCAACGAUGCGUAGCCGACCUGAGAGGGUGAUCGGCCACACUGGAACUGAGACACGGUCCAGACUCCUACGGGAGGCAGCAGUAGGGAAUCUUCCGCAAUGGGCGAAAGCCUGACGGAGCAACGCCGCGUGAGUGAAGAAGGUCUUCGGAUCGUAAAACUCUGUUAUUAGGGAAGAACAAAUGUGUAAGUAACUAUGCACGUCUUGACGGUACCUAAUCAGAAAGCCACGGCUAACUACGUG
rnacentral:rRNA from 1 species